rnacentral:rRNA from 1 species
GCCUGCAUGAAGCCGGAAUUGCUAGUAAUCGCGGAUCAGCAUGCCGCGGUGAAUACGUUCCCGGGCCUUGUACACACCGCCCGUCACACCACGAGAGUUUGUAACACCCGAAGUCGGUGGGGUAACCAAGAGCAUUUGCAAAAAUGCGUCGGAGCCAGCCGCCUAAGGUGGGACAGAUGAUUGGGGUGAAGUCGUAACAAGGUAGCCGUAUCGGAAGGUGCGGCUGGAUCACCUCCUUU